rfam:Gossypium raimondii chromosome 12, whole genome shotgun sequence.
GCCUUUGUAGCAUAGUGGUAGCGCGUUCGCUUCGUAAGCGAAAGGUCGCGAGUUCGAUCCUCGCCAGAGGCU